GAUGAAGAACGUAGCGAAAUGCGAUAAGUAAUGUGAAUUGCAGAAUUCAGUGAAUCAUCGAAUCUUUGAACGCACAUUGCGCCCGCCAGCACUCUGGCGGGUAUGCCUGUUCGAGCGUCAUUUCAACCAUCAAGCCCCCAGGGGCUUGUGCUGGGGCCCUGCGGCUGCCCGCAGGCCCUGAAAACCAGUGGCGGGCUCGCUAGUCACACCGAGCGCAGUAGCACAUCUCGCUCAGGGCGUGCGGCGGGCUCCUGCCGUGAAACCCCCCACUGUAACCCCAAAGGUUGACCUCGGAUCAGGUAGGAAUACCCGCUGAACUUAAGCAUAUCAAUAAGCGGAGGA
rnacentral:misc_RNA from 1 species